AUGAAGCGUAUGGAGUCAUAUAAUAGUUUAUCCUAUAACACGAAGAUCCCGUCUAAAUAGUUAUCAAAGUAGAUGGCUGCUCAACUUGAGCAAAGCAAGCUGAUGGGGAGGACUAUUCGAGAGAACAGUUGCGUUAGUGAAGAAUUCUCUUUACAAAGUCGUUGGGGCGGCUAAGCUUACUUACAAAGAGAUACAAGACGUGCUGUCGGACACCAGACAGUAUUGAACAAUAGACCGUUAACGUACUGUGAAGAUGAUGUAUAACUACCGUUGAUCACACCAAAUAUCGUGAUUUUAGUGAAGGCGAAUUAUCUUAUGGAAACGUCUCGUGAAAAAAUCGAAGACAUCGAUCUACAAAAGAAAGCGUCGUAUUUAAAGAAGUGCAAAGAUUCCUUCUGGCGGCGUUGGAAAAAGGAAUAAAUGAGGGCACUUAGAGAAAAACACGAUUUAAGACAUAAAGGGAAACGUAUGCAAUUGAAGAAAAAGAUGUGGUGCUUAUUAAAGGAGAAGAAAAGAACAGAGGAAAGUGGAAGAUCGGAGUAGUGACUGACCUUAUACCUGGUCGAGAAGGAGUCGUGAGGACAGUCAGACUUCGUGCCGGUAAGAAUUAUCUGGAAAGACUAAUUCAGUUUCUCUAUCCACUGGAAUUGCAUUGUGAUGUAAAAAAACAAGUCGAGUUUAGCCCAGAAGCAAGAGAGUACAGACCCGAACGGAUAACAUCGGUGGAAGGAGCGCAAGGCAUUUAAGGAAUACUUUCGUAUAAAGAUAACGAUAAAAUAAGAAAUAUUAUUUAUUAGUUGUGUUUACGUGAACAAGAAAAGGGGAGAGUGUGUCGUGAAUGUUAGCCCAUUCCUGUAAAAAUAAUAUAAGAUCAGUGAACAUGUUACGUUAAGUUUGAUUGAGAGCUGUCAAAAUAUGGGUGGGUUGCUUUUGAAAAAGAUUUGUGAUGGAGAUGCCGGCGAAUUUUUUCUGGUUGCGUUUCAAAUCGUUUUUCAUUUUUUGCCGUAUGGCAACACUGCCAAAUGAAGAGUUAAUAAAGAUUGUCAUACACCAA